rnacentral:lncRNA from 1 species
UUAAGGCUUUUAUAUUAUGUGAAUACCAUGGAAGCAUCAUGGAAGACACUAGCAUAUGGGGAAAACAUUACCAUGAAGACAUCCUGGCAUGCAGGAGCCGAUUUCCUCUGUUGAUGAGGACAGGACAGUCCAGAACAGACAGAUGCAGAGAAAAAAGGGAUAUUCUGUUUUCAGUGGAGCUUAUUUUUCUUUCAGAUUACAGUCCAGGUAAAAAGGAUGCUCGACUACCCUAAUCUUGUGGGUUGUGUCCUGUGGGCUGGUUUUGGCUGGAAUUCUACAGGUGAAAUGACUGCAGCCUUCUGUCUGCGAGGAGCCUUUGUUAUCUCCACAGGGGAAGAUUAGCCCUGAGCUAAC